rnacentral:rRNA from 1 species
UACGGAGGGGGCUAGCGUUGUUCGGAAUUACUGGGCGUAAAGCGCACGUAGGCGGCUUUGUAAGUUGAGUGGAAUGACCCGGGGCUCAACUCCGGAAUUGCUUAAGACUGCAUCGCUAGAAUUGUGGAGAGGUAAGUGGAAUCCGAGUGUAGAGGUGAAAUUCGUAGAUAUUCGGAAGAACACCAGUGGCGAAGGCGACUUACUGGACACAUAUUGACGCUGAGGUGCGAAAGCGUGGGUAGCAAACAGG